rnacentral:rRNA from 1 species
GACGAACGCUGGCGGCGUGCUUAACACAUGCAAGUCGAACGGAAAGGCCCUGCUUUUGUGCGGUGCUCGAGUGGCGAACGGGUGAGUAACACGUGAGUAACCUGCCCUUGACUUUGGGAUAACUUCAGGAAACUGGGGCUAAUACCGGCUAGGAGCUCCUGCUUCAUGGUGGGGGUUGGAAAGAUUCGGCUGUUGGGGAUGGACUCGCGGCUUAUCGGCUUGUUGGAGGGGUAGUGUGUUACCAAGGCUUGGACGGGUAGGCUGGCUGGGCGGGUGACCGGCCACAUUGGGACUGGGAUGCGGCCCGGACUACUCUGGGAGGCAGCGGUGGGGAAUAUUGCACAAUGGGCGGAAGCCUGAUGCAGCAACGCCGCGUGCGGGAUGACGGCCUUCGGGUUGGAAACCGCUUUCGCCUGUGACGAAGCGUGAGUGACGGUAAUGGGUAAAGAAGCACCGGCUAACUACGUG